UACGGGGGGGGCAAGCGUUGUUCGGAAUUACUGGGCGUAAAGGCUCGUAGGCGGCCAACUAAGUCAUACGUGAAAUCCCCCGGCUUAACCGGGGAACUGCGUCUGAUACUGGAUGGCUUGAGUUCGGGAGAGGGAUGCGGAAUUCCAGGUGUAGCGGUGAAAUGCGUAGAUAUCUGGAGGAACACCGGUGGCGAAGGCGGCAUCCUGGACCGAUACUGACGCUGAGGAGCGAAAGCCAGGGAGCAAAGCGGG
rnacentral:rRNA from 1 species